rnacentral:rRNA from 1 species
GACGAGCCACCCAAACGUUAUUCGGAAUUACUGGGCUUAAAGGGUGCGUAGGCGGUGCGGAAAGUAGGGUGUGAAAGCCCUCGGCUCAACCGAGGAAUUGCCUUCGAUACUGUUCGGCUUGAGUCCUGGAGAGGGUAGCGGAAUUCCCGGUGUAGCGGUGAAAUGCGUAGAGACCGGGAAGAACACCAGUGGCGAAGGCGGCUACCUGGACAGGUACUGACGCUGAAGCGCGAAAGCUAGGGGAGCAAACAGG